rnacentral:lncRNA from 1 species
CUCCAGGUGUCGAAAGCACUGAUAAAUUGACAUCCAUGGCUUUUUUUGUUCCUUUCGCCAAUUCUACAAUACUAAUGUAGCAGGAUUUUGAAGACACCAUUCAAAAUCUUGAUCAAUCUGUUACCUGCAUAAUCUCUUAUACAAUUUUUGGCUGGAUAUAAAAAUCUGCUAAAAAAUUUGGGAUUCCUCAACUGGUCUUUUCCGGCAUGGGAAUGUUUUCCACCAUCAUGUAUCAGAUCUUAUUAAAAAACAGGCCACAUGCAGGAACAGUUUCUCUCGACACUUCCUUUUUGAUUCCUGAUUUUCCCAAGUUGAAAUUGACAAGAAAUGACUUCAAUCAACUGAUUUUGCCGCCAUAGCUUCACAUGAACUUCACUUAAUAAUAUGCGGGAAGCUGAUUGUUGUGCGAAUCCUCCCACGACGGCAAAUUCUCGAACUCAAUUUCACAGAAUUGCGGCGAGGAGCCUGCCGGACUCCGGGUAAGACAAAUUGUACAGGUAUUUCUCCAUCAGCGCCCGUUAGCUUUGAGCACAAAAUUUUAGAAAUGAAUGAUUACUCCAUUUGAGACCUUGCGCUGGGAAGAAGACUGAAUACAAGGGGGAUUCAUCAUUCAUUAAUUUGCUCCAAUUUGGGAUUCAUUAACCUUGAAUUUUUCCCUGCUUUCUCUUUUAUUGCACCAUAGUUACAAAAAUAAUUCUCAACAUUUUGACAAUUAACUAGAUAAUCAUAUUUUUUUGGGAGUGAGGUGGGAUUUCAAGGAUUUGAAGUAUUAGUGCGGAGGGGAGUUUGGGGAAGGUGAAGGCAAUGAGAGAGGAGGAAUUGGGACAUUGAGAGACGAUCUUGAAAGUGGAGGGUUUUGAAAUGAAAGCUAAAUUUUUUUUUCAUUUUAUACCUAAAGGUUAAUACCGUAAUUAAUACAUGAUUAAAGAAAUAUUAAAAGGCUAAGUGCAUUAAUCAAUUUUAGGGCACCCAGGCCUACUUUGCCCAUUUAUUAAAGACAACUUAAGAAUUCCACUCAUUUAAUUUCAAUUUUACCAUAAUUUUUUUCUUAUAAAAAUGAGAGAGAGGCAUUGGAGAAGAUUAGGAUGUACGAUUUUUUUGUAAGUUUCUUCUCAUCACAGUAAAUUAUUAUAAUAAUGAAUACCUUAUGCCAGAAACGGAUGGGGUGGGGGGGGGUUGGACUGGCUGUAGUCUCCCCCAAAGCCUAUAUUUUUUUUAGAUAUUCUUUUUUUAUUUUUGUUUUUAAAAAGCAGUAUUUUUAAGUGUUAAAUAAAAAAAAAAAAAAAAAGUGUUCACAUUGUAGUCCGACCCAAAAUUUUGUAGUUUGGUCUUAAAUUCAAUCCUGGCAGUAAAAGGGCACUACUUUUGUUGUAGGCAAACAUAACUUCUUCUGGUGCUUUUUAAUGCUCUAUUGACUAUACGACAUAAUCUAAUAUUGAGACGAAAAUCUAUGAAUUUUGCAUGUUCUUGUGUUUAUUUUAUUUUUACAAUUUUAUUGCUCUUGUGAUGAAUUAAGAUAUCUAAUUCUCAACAAUAAUGUCCGAAACUUUAACGACGCAUUUUUCAUGAUAAUUUAACAAAGAUUUAAACCAUUUACGUAAUUGAGACUGGUUAUGCCAUUAUAAUAAAAUCUUGAGGAUCAACUUGAUAGACUUGCUAAUGGCGAAACAAGUUAGAAAGCCGGUAAUGCAAUUUACGUUACUCCUGUAAUUUCUUUACUUUCGAACAAUGGAUUUCCACAAGGUUCACUUAACAAUUUAACAAGAUUCGAACAUAAUUACAUUAUUAAGACUUGUUUUGCAACAAUAAUGGAAGUUUAGGAAUCAACUUUCUUCUUUGUAAAGUAGAAAAAUUACUUGCUAAUAAAGCAAUAAGUUGAGGACCAAUAAUGUAAUUUUGCCGCAUCUUCAACUUUACGAUGCUUAGUUUUGCUUCUGUUGACGCACUAAAAGUGCAGCCCAAAUCAAAUAGCCCAAGGAAUGAAGUCCAACUGGGCAAUUCAGGAUAAAGGCCCAGAUAGGGUUAUUAAUGAAUGCAGUGGAAGUCCACGAACACGGUAACAUCAUCGCCCAAUCUUACAAAACGCCCAAGAUCUGAGCGAAUGAAGUGCCUUACAGUCGCCCAGAGCUAUGACUCUGUUCUCGCUCAAAUCUUCGAAUCGCCCAAGAUCUUAGCAAACAUAAGAUAUUAUGGUUAUCCAGAAGUGCAAUUAUUGAAGCAGUUAUUGAGUAACAUUAUCACGUUCCACCAUUCAAGGAGUUCAGUUGAAGACGGUUAAACGACAAAGAGUAGUGGCAGCAGUUAGAUACGACAGUUCGACAACAAGUUAGCCACCAUAAAAAAAGUGGGUAGUUAUAAAGCAAUCAAACAGUUUCUAAGCAGUUGAUCACGAAAAAAUCAUCAAGAGAAUAUAAAAGGAAGAGAAGACAUAGAGCAAAGGACUUGAAUCAAAUACUCUCAAACAGAAAAUAUGUAAUUUCAGUUUCUUAGUUUAAAACUUAAACAUUUCUUUCAGUACUCGUGUGCUUGCGCCCCUUGGAGGCAUUCUGUUUAGUUCCAAUUGUAAAUCAUUGCCAAUAGGGCUGUUUGAUAAUAAAGUUUGUGAAAAGUAAUUUUUUGAAAAAAUAUGAUUAAAAAGUGGGAAAAAAAUUAGACGUUCAUAUGUAAAAUUAUUUUAUUAGAAUCUUUUUUUUACUUUUUUUAUCGUAGGUGUUUGUGCUAGUUUACGCAUACCUCGACUAAUUUUAAGGGAUCCUGAAGUUUACAACUGAGUAUUUGUUUCAAUGGUCCUGAUAGAAUUCGAAUUGGUGGCCAUUGAGAAUAAAUCUAAAGUCUGAUCACUGAACUAUCUCUCAAGAUUUAUUUAUCUGAAUAGAAGUUUACUGAUAAAAAUAGUUUUUGUUACAUUUUCAUGGGAAUUUCACGUUUCACUUUUAUGAAGAUUUUGCUUUUUUAUACUAGAUGUUUUGUUAAUUGUAAAUUUUAAUUGUUGUUGUUGUGACCUUUGUGGUGAGGUCAUGUCAGGGGCAUGAUAAGAAGCCCCCUCAAUGGUCGUGAGGGCCAAAGCCAAAAACAAAAUUUAUUAAGGAUAACUAACAAAAAUACUUUUAAAAUUAUGAGUAUUUUGAAAAAUCAUAUAAAAAAUUUAUUGAAAGUAAAAAAUACCGUAUAAAAUUAAAAAGUGACACUUUAUAAAAAUUUUGUGACACAAUGUCACUAUUUUUAGUGACUUUUUUUUUUUUUUUUUUUUAAAAAAGGCCCCCUCAAUGGUCGUGAGGGCCAAAGCCAAAAACAAAAUUUAUUAAGGAUAACUAACAAAAAUACUUUUAAAAUUAUGAGUAUUUUGAAAAAUCAUAUAAAAAAUUUAUUGAAAGUAAAAAAUACCGUAUAAAAUUAAAAAGUGACACUUUAUAAAAAUUUUGUGACACAAUGUCACUAUUUUUAGUGACUUUUUUUUUUUUUUUUUUUGAAAAAGACGAUUGAAAAAAAAGUGACAAAAAUUCCAAAAAAGUGAUGAACUAAAAAAGUAACACAAAUUAAAAAAAGUUACACAGAUUUAAAAAAGUGACAAUUAAAAAAAAAAAAGUAACACAAAUUCCCAAAAAAAAAAAACAAAGGUGAUAGAAAAUUUAAAAAGUGACAAAUCAUAACCCACAAUUUUUGAUAUAGCCAAAUUAUCUAAUAAGUUCACAAUUGAUGAACAAAUUAAAAACGUUUGAACUAACAACUUGAGCAAUAAAAUCAUAACCCAAAAUUUAAAUACAACUAAGUUUUCAAUAAGCUCACAAGAAAUGAAAAUUGAUGACUAAACUAAAAUGUCAAAUGUGAAAAAAUUGUAUAAACCCUCGUGACCGUUAAUAAACUAAUAUCAUUUCUGAAAUCAUUUAUAUCAAAUAUUUUCCAAAAUCAUUUGCAUGUUGUGCUUCUUCGUCACAUACAUCUUCCGUUUUUGCCUCAUCAACAAUCUGUGAGCUGAAAUUCUAUAGAGAACUGAAUCUAAUAUUUCGAUCAAAGGUUAAGAUUCAAGAUUCUCUCCUUGAUUACGGCAUUAAAAUUGUUGAACUCCCAUUUCCACAAGAAACAAAUGGUAUGGUGUCCCUCCAGGUGUCGAAAGCACUGAUAAAUUGACAUCCAUGGCUUUUUUUGUUCCUUUCGCCAAUUCUACAAUACUAAUGUAGCAGGAUUUUGAAGACACCAUUCAAAAUCUUGAUCAAUCUGUUACCUGCAUAAUCUCUUAUACAAUUUUUGGCUGGAUAUAAAAAUCUGCUAAAAAAUUUGGGAUUCCUCAACUGGUCUUUUCCGGCAUGGGAAUGUUUUCCACCAUCAUGUAUCAGAUCUUAUUAAAAAACAGGCCGCAUGCAGGAACAGUUUCUCUCGACACUUCCUUUUUGAUUCCUGAUUUUCCCAAGUUGAAAUUGACAAGAGAUGACUUCGAUCAAGUGAUUUUGCCGCCAUAGCUGCACAUGAACUUCACUUUAUAAUAUGGGGGAAGCUGAUUGUUGUGCGAAUCCUCCCACGACGGCGAAUUCUCGAACUUAAUUUCACAGAAGUGCGGCGAGAAGCAGCCGGACUCCGAGUAAGACAAAUUGUACAGGUAUUUCUCCGUUAGCUUUGAGCACAAAAUUUUAGAAAUGAAUGAUUACUCCAUUUGAGACCUUGCGCUGGGAAGAAGACUGAAUACAAGGCGGAUUCAUCAUUCAUUAAUUUGCUCCAAUUUGGGAUUCAUUAACCUUGAAUUUUUCCCUGCUUUCUCUUUUAUUGCACCAUAGUUACAAAAAUAAUUCUCAACAUUUUGACAAUUAACUAGAUAAUCAUAUUUUUUUGGGAGUGAGGUGCGAUUUCAAGGAUUUGAAGUAUUAGUGCGGAGGGGAGUUUGGGGAAGGUGAAGGCAAUGAGAGAGGAGGAAUUGGGACAUUGAGAGACGAUCUUGAAAGUGGAGGGUUUUGAAAUGAAAGCUAAAUUUUUUUUCAUUUUAUACCUAAAGGUUAAUACCGUAAUUAAUACAUGAUUAAAGAAAUAUUAAAAGGCUAAGUGCAUUAAUCAAUUUUAGGGCACCCAGGCCUACUUUGCCCAUUUAUUAAAGACAACUUAAGAAUUCCACUCAUUUAAUUUCAAUUUUACCAUAAUUUUUUUCUUAUAAAAAUGAGAGAGAGGCAUUGGAGAAG